AUUGAACGCUGGCGGCAGGCCUAACACAUGCAAGUCGAGCGGAUGAAGGUAGCUUGCUCCUGGAUUCAGCGGCGGACGGGUGAGUAAUGCCUAGGAAUCUGCCUGGUAGUGGGGGAUAACGUCCGGAAACGGUCGCUAAUACCGCAUACGUCCUGAGGGAGAAAGUGGGGGAUCUUCGGACCUCACGCUAUCAGAUGAGCCUAGGUCGGAUUAGCUAGUUGGUGGGGUAAAGGCCUACCAAGGCGACGAUCCGUAACUGGUCUGAGAGGAUGAUCAGUCACACUGGAACUGAGACACGGUCCAGACUCAUAAGGGAGGCAGCAGUGGGGAAUAUUGGACGAUGGGCGAAAGACUGAUCCAGACAUGCCGCGUGUGUGAAGAAGGUAUUCGGAUUGUAAAGCACUUUAAGUUGGGAGGAAGGGAAGUAAGUUAAUACCUUGCUGUUUUGACGUUACCAACAGAAUAAGCACCGGCUAACUUCGUG
rnacentral:rRNA from 1 species